rnacentral:tRNA from 1 species
GAGAGAGGCUUGCCAGCAGCGGAGUCUGCUAACCUUCGCCCCCUUGGUUGAAAUCCAAGACUCACUCG